CACCAGGCAGGAAAACAUGGAAAAUGAGGAGCUGAUUAUACAGUGAUCUCCCCAGGCAGCAAGGGCGUGUCUCCCCCCCCCCCACCAUGAGGGUGAGUCCUCCUUCCCCUGGUGAGGGUGAGUCCUCCCCCACUUGGUGAGGACUGAAGACUGAAGUCGGAGGAAUACAUAGUAAAUCAGCAAGCAGAAUGGGACCCAGUGCAAAAAGCACAUCUGUCCGAGAUCAUCACACAGAAGUGCAUUGUGUGGGUUCAGAGGGACUCAGCAGCAGCUGAAGGGGGUACUCUGUCUUUGAGAGAAAGAGAUGAAUGAGUAGAGAAGCCAACGUGCUGUGAGAAACGUCCAAGUCUGGAUGUUAGCCGUAACCCACAUCCUAGAGAAGCAUACUGUGUUCUGUGUGCUCUCAGCUAGCAUGGGGUCACCCACAUUCUACCGCAAGAAGAGCCUUGUUUCCCCUUCAGACUUCUUAUCCUGUUUUCCACGAACAUUAAAACCCCAUGCCAGAGCUGGGUAGAUGUGUAUGUGGCCUUGCUGAGGUCACUUUGCCGUGUUGUGUACUGGGAGGAGCAGAGUAAGGCUUCUGUCACAUAGACGUUUACCAGAAAAUUGAAUACAAGACCCUGUGGACACUCACCUGGCUCUCUACUACUGAGCUAUAUUGUAAGGAACAAUUUAUCUUUUUAACGCAGCACACUACACAAAAGAGCCCUCCAAUUAUGAAACAGAGGAAGAAAAGGAGAAAAGCAAAGAGCGUACACCUGAAAGCUGACAAGUCGCUGUUCAUAGAGAGAACGCAUGGAAAACAUAUCCAGCAGAGUCACCAUAUCUAAGAGACACCCUGAAAAUAGUAAUGGAGGUCAGAAAUGACAAGCCUCGGGGACACUACCUCCUGUGGUGUCUUUGUAAACUCAUCACAGAGAUGGCUGCAAGAAUCUUGGAUGCCAGAAAAAAAAAAAAAAAAAAAAGGUUGGAUGAAGACUAUUGGUUCUAAUGAAAUUUAUCUGAGGAAACCUGGGGCAACUCAAGUAUCCAGAAGGGAUUGCUUGCUCUGAGUCACCAGUGUGUCAGCAGAACUGUGACUCACUGUAGCUUAAGGAAGGAAUGACCAUAACCUGGACAUAUUUGAACAAUUUUUGAAACUAUAUAUAUGCAUGUGUGUGUGUGUGUGUGUGUGUGUGUGUGUGUGUGUGUGUGUGUGUGUGUGUGUAUUCAACCUUAUUCUAGCUUAUUCUAGUUGUAAUUGCUACGGACAUUUACUUUAGUAUUUUAGGUUGAUAGCUAUAAGAUUCUGGGAGAGAAUCAAUUAUGAUAAAACAGAUUUCUUAGUUUUAAGGAAUUAAUUGAUUGUCUUGGUUGGAAUUUGUAGUCUUUUGUCCUUACUUAUUCAUAUGAGGAAUAAGCUUUCCGACUGUGAAAAAGACCAAGUUUCUAUACAAGAUGGGCCUUCUAAGUCUUUGGUAGAUGCCUUGAAGAUACCACUCAUGAUCUCUUGACCCUAGGCAUCUUUCACAAUCUCUUAUGAGAUACUAAUUAAUUUGGAUUAUAACCAUAAAAAAAAAACAGGCAUCUGUUUUUAAAUCAUACAAUACUUAAAUUAUAUAAUGCCAUAACUUAUGGGAGAAAUAAAGUAAUCUAAUCUUAAAAGACUGUUUGGUAUUGAUGUACUACAUUUCCUCAACUGAAAUAUUAUGUUCCCUACAGUCCCAUAUAUUAAAGGCUUGGUCCUUGAUAUAGCAUCAUUGAUACAUAGAAGACCUUGUAAGAAGUGGAACAAUUGGAAAGUGUAUGAUUCAUUGGGGGAGUAUCUUUAACAGGAAUAGUGGGCUCUUCCUCCUUCUGUUACAGGUUGUGAACCAAAGGAGUUUUGCUUUGCUUCAUGCAACCACUGCACUGUACUUCCUCACUGCUGACCCAAGAGCAUCAAGGCCAACAUAUCAUGAAUCAAGACCUCCAAACCUAAGUCAGAACAACCCAAUCUCCUCUCCUUACACAUUCCUUAUCUCAAGUAUUUGUUGUAACAAUAGAAAGACAACUACUACAUGGGAGUUCUGGAAGAGUCAACCAUCACUAGUGCAUUCAUUAGACACACAUGCACAUGUACACACAUGCAUCUGCACACAUACACAUAUACAUGCAAAUGCACACAAACAUGCAUCUGCAGAAUACACAUGCACAUACACAUGCACAUACAUCCACACACAGAUGCAUGCACACUCACAUGCAUCUGCGCGCACACACAGGUCCACACACAUGUACGUGCAUGCACACAGACAGAGACACAGCUGUACAUUACUAGCCACGGGAAAAGCUUCCUUGAGGUUUUAAUCGUUUAAUGACCUUGAAAGUCUGUUCAAAAUAAUUCUUGGCUAUUUAUUGCGGGUGUCUCCAAACAACUACUGUGUCCCCCAUGGUUGUUAAUAUUCUUCCCCAAAGACUGCAUUUGUCAGAGAUGAUGAAAUGUGAUCCAGCAUAAAUAGGAUGCGGUAUUUCCAUUGGUUCCUGUGGUCUACCACAGCUUGCUUAAGCUCCCAAGGGGAGACAGAGGUCCUGUUCAUCACACAUGGAAACUUUCUAGACUGUAAGUGUCAAACCAGGAGCAGAGAUGCCUGCAGGUUUCAAAGGAAAACUAAAUAAACAGCCGAUUCUUUUAUCUUCUUUUCUUUUCUAGCACACAUUCAUUCUACCAUAUCCUCAUUUAAAUUUCACUCUCUCACCUUUGUUUGAGCUAAAGCUUGUGCUCACUGUGAGCCAGUAAAAACUACAAGAAGGAAACAUCUGCACGGCUGUGUAACCAAUCCUACAAUUAUCAGGACAAUUAUCCUGACAAUCACGCAGGACAUUUGCAGAAUUUGUUUUCAAGACACAAUGAGUAAUGUACUAACCACAAAUGAACCUAACUUGUAUUUAUGUUAACUUACAUUUUACAUUUUAAAUAUAUGUUAUUCCAUGACAUUUGAUCUGGGAAACAAAUAAAAAAGAUAGAUGUGCCAUCUAGAUUUCAUUUGAAACAAUGGAUAACUAAUAGAAUUGACCCAGGAUCCCAGCAAAUCCCUUACACAAAUUACUGCAUUAGAAAAUACUGUUGAGUCCUGAAGUGUGAGCUGUUCAGGAAACUCCUAUUACCUCGCUAAUAGGAAUUUUAAAUGAUAUGCAAGGUUUCUGGAAAAAGUAAUUUCAGAAACAAAGUCUUCAUGUUUUAAAGAGAAAUUCUAUUUCUAAGAAUACAAUUUAGGUAAAGAACUAGAUCUUUGCACAACGAUUCAGCUACAAAAAGUUCCUAGGAAUUGUGAUCAAAUAAAUUGCCCAAAUUGAUGUUCCUAGUCAGUGUACAGAGACUGUAACACUGUUCACUUUGUUACUCCUAGGCAUUCUCUUGUGGUCUUCUGGGUGCUGGAGAGAUGUCUCAACAGUUAGGAGCACUAGCUACUCUUUCAGAGGACUGAGGUUCAGCUCCCAGCACUGAGGUGAUGGAAAAUGACUGUGUAAAGCCAGCCCAGGGGUUCUGAUAUCCUCUUCUGGCUUCCUUGGGCACCAGGUACAUGUGUUACACAGACAUAUGAGCAUAAAAACACCCAUAAACAUAAAAUAAAAACAAAUCAUUUUUUAUAAAAACAAGUUCUGACUGAUAUGAAAGAAGCCAGGCAGAGGCAUGGGUUUUGUGUUGAGCCUCUAAGAACAGAGAUUACAUCUGUUCAUGUUUCCUUGGCCAGACAACCAUAGGUCCCAUAACAGCUGGGAAAUGCACUUCAUCUUUGUUCUUAGACAACAGAAGAGACAGAGUUUGGUGAGCACAUGACAGUCUGUCCAACGAUGAUCAUGAAUACAUUUCAAACUACCUUUCAAUAGAUCUGCCUAGCAGAAGACUGAGGAGUUAUGAAGCCAAACAAGCAAACAAACAAAAGGAUGGUUAAAUAAAUAAAAAGAUGUUCUGGACACACUGAGGGAAAGCAGUCAUUGAAAGCCAUGGUCUGGGCCCUCAUUUCUAGCUGCUAAAUGACUAUGACUUCUGAAAAUAUAAAAUGCUGUCAUCUCUCAGCUCUCAUACUUCCUGGUUUCCCAAACUUCCCUUCUUUGUAUUUUCCCUCUUGUUUGCUUAAUAACGGAAGCAUGACUUGAAGAAAAAGUUAUACUAUGGAAUAGGAUAGGUUCCAUUUAUCAGCCAGAUUAAUUUCCUUUUUAAAAAAAAAAAUGUGGGAUUGCCCUACUUUUUAUUUUACUAAACAGAUCUGUUGAAAUAACUUAUGAAAUAGACUGAAGCACAUGUGAUGUAGAGAAUGGGCUCUAACAAGUACAAAUGGUACAGUGACAUCAAUUGUUUGUUUGUUUGUUUGUUUUUGUUUUUUAUGGCAUUGCACAGCAGGAUAGAUUAUUCCAAUGGGUAUUUGCUGGAAGCACACUCAGCUGGAUUCCAGUUUAUACCAGUGCCUCUCUGCCUACAAGAGUUCACUGUUUCUUCUGGGUUUCUUGUAAAAUCCUGCAUCUUCUCAGAAACUUCCCAAAGUAUAUAUUAUGAGCAAGGGCUAUUUAUUCCAAAUUUCUAAAUAAAUAUUUAACUUUAACUUUAAUUAUAUUUGACAUUGGGCAGUGUUUCCUUUCCUGGUUAAACUCCGGGAGCUACCUUUAAAACUAAGAAAGUACAUUUUGUCAGACACAGUGGCUGCUUCCCAUACGGGCAUCUUGUCUUCUGCAUCUCAUCACUGACAGAGUCUGCCUCUUGCUGUAUGACCUGAAAAUGUCAGUCUCUGCUUGUUCAAGUAGACCUUAGAGCUGUAGUGCAGGCAUAGGGUCUAGAGGAUGACCAGAGGAGAAACCUGGAGAGCAGGUCUCAGAAAGGUCUUUCUCCUCACUGUGAGUUAGCUGUGGUCUCAGGACCCUAAACAUCCCUGUAUCCAAGCCCUUAGGGGAUGGCUUUGUGGUUUCUUUGAUUUAGAGCUGGCAUCUAUUUUUCUGCCUCCUGACUCUAGGCUGAUUUCCUGAUCUAACUGGAGUAAUAGAGUAUAGCAGAAGUGAUAGUGUUCCCUGUUGAAGCCUUGACAUAAGAAACCUUGAUCUGCGAAGAUUAGAGAGUGAUAGAGCAGGGAGCUUGCCAGGCCCUGUUCCCACCAAAGCAUCCAUUUAACUGGUGAAAAAAAUUAAUAGGAAAAUGAAAUUUAAAAACUAGGUAAAGUUACCUCUCAUUGACCUAAAAGCAUAUAUCAAGUGGAAAAUCUACUAAAUCAGUACAAAUACUAAGACGCUUGUGUCCUGCUGUGAUAGUUUGGAACACUUUGUGAAUACACUGUUCCUCUAAGGCAGAAACAUCUUCAAGGACCACUGUAACUUAAUUGUAUUGAGGGAUUGAGUAACCCUUGGAACUAUCUAGUUCCUGAUUUCUUGUUGCAUCAGAAAAUAAGUGCACAUUGGCUCAAUGAUUCAUGAUUGACAUAUUUUACUUUUGCAAACUCUAACAUUUUUAUUAUUCUCUGUAUAAACUGAUCCAUAGCAAAUACACAAAGAAACCAUGUAGUGUAACAAUUUCUCCUGCUCUAUUUUCUUCUAGAGUGAUGCCCUUUACACAGCUGCUUCUUCACCCUAUCACCAAUUCUUUGUCCAGUCACCCUCUGUUUACAUGUUUUUGCCAUUAUUAUGUAUGAUAUAUCAUGAUUCAUAAUAAUGAAUAGGUAUUUAUAUGCUAUAAUAUUUAUAUAG
rnacentral:lncRNA from 1 species